UUAACUUCAAUUUGUAUGGAGUCGGACCGUUUGCUUAUGUUUGCCGCUAGGGGCGCUGUUCCCAUUGCAUACAAAUUUGAGUUA
rnacentral:pre_miRNA from 1 species